rnacentral:misc_RNA from 1 species
UGCUUGAAAUGCAGGUGCAGCUAGAUUCUUUCUUCUGAGCUAUAAGCAUACUUAUUUAAUCCCGUCAAACGGAUUAUUACUUUUGCUGCAGCUAACAUAAAGGAUAAUUGUCCUCAUUGCUGACUGAUGCAGGAUUUUACGACACUUUAUGUGUUGUUCAACUCGAUCUCAAAUCAAGUAAGACUACCCGCUGAACUUAA